AGAGAGGGAGAGGGUUAGUGAGUUCUGGAAUCUGGAACUCUCUCUGCCUCUUAACCUCUGUUUUUCUCUCUUUCUUAAUGUCUAGAGAAUUUUUGGAACCUAAGAAAGAGAGAGAGAAAGCCAGGGUUGCUGAUGGCUAUUUUUGGACGCCUAUGGUGGUAUAUCGGCCGAUCUGAAUAGAGCAAAGGGGAUGGGUAGAUCGGAGUGAAGGAAGGCUUUGAGUUAGAAGGUAUGAUCUUUUGAGAAAAGGAAAUGGAAAAGCAGAGGACCAAUUUGUGGCUUCGAUGUUUUCUUUCAGCUCACACGACAGCUUUGUCGUGGUUCCAUUGCUGAUCUAUGAAGAAAUAGUAGAGUAAUAUGAACCACCGAGUGGUUCCAUUUUUAUAUUUAGAGCCCAAAGAUUUUGGUACACAGUUUGCAAUUCGUGAUUAACCCAAGAAAUCCUCCAAAUCAAAAGCCCAAAAUGUUAUGACAACCCAGUCCUAUAUAUGUUUCACAAAAUUCCCCAGAGAACACAAAGGAAAAGAUCUUGAUAAAUAUAUCUAAGAUGUCAAUGGCGUACUUCUUCUUCUCUCCUCAAAUUAUUGUUAUAAGGUGCAAUGAAGCAACGUGCCUCAAAGGACAUAUUUGUUAAAAUAGGAGGCUUUGUUCUUUGAGCUAUGGAAAUGGUGGAAAAUUAGAUGAAACUCAAAUGCGAUUGACACUAGAGACAACGUGAUCAACCAUUAUUCACAAUGCAUGGAAUCAAACUUAGUUCCUUAAAAUUUUGAUGAGUUCGUGGCCAUGUUUAGGGAGAAAAAUUGUGCCCAAUUAUAUAGCUACACAUAUGAUAUCAAGCUAGACCAAACUAAUGAGCCAUAAUGGAUUGAGGAAUGCUGGUGAAUUUGUUAUGUGGGCUGGAGGAAAAGAUUGAUGCUUCCCUUGAGGUUCUUAUCUUAUUAUUGCUAAGGAGGAAUUGUGGGAUGCUGUCACAUAUGAGGCUGUUGCUUUGGUUAAAACCAAUCUAGGAGCUGGAACAGGUAGCAAAGAGGUUGAUGUAUGAAGCAUACCAAAGAGGUUGUGCAGGAUCAAAGAGAUUCCUCACAUUAGAUGUGGAAGCACCCUUCCUUGGCUUGAUACUAAGGUUUGGUUUUCUACAACAGUGGAAGAUGAAGUGCAAUAAAAUCAAGUGGUUCACAAUGAUAGAAAAUCAUAGUGUUGUGCUAUUGAAGGUUAGAGAUGUAAACAAACUCAUUAGAAUGUGAAUGUGUACUACAUACUAUCACCUUCUAGCAUAGAGCUAUAUCUGAAAGCUUAGUUUCUAUGGGGGUUGAAUUUAGCUAGAAAACAUGCCUUGUUUUUUGAUUUUGUUAAGAACCAUUGGCUAAAGUCAACUAUGAUUACAAGGUAGACAUAGUGCUUGCGGUGGAUGCGUCUAACUAUAUUUGACAGUGAUACUUUGUCAAGGUGUUUUAAAUUUCAUC